rnacentral:rRNA from 1 species
GAUCCUGGCUCAGGAUGAACGCUAGCUACAGGCUUAACACAUGCAAGUCGAGGGGCAUCAGGAAGAAAGCUUGCUUUCUUUGCUGGCGACCGGCGCACGGGUGGGUAACACGUAUCCAACCUACCCUUUACUCGGGGAUAGCCUUUCGAAAGAAAGAUUAAUACCCGAUGGCAUAAUGAUUCUGCAUGGUUUCAUUAUUAAAGGAUUCCGGUAAAGGAUGGGGAUGCGUUCCAUUAGGUUGUUGGUGAGGUAACGG